rnacentral:snRNA from 1 species
AGCGUUGCGCAGUGGCAGUAUCGUAGCCAAUGAGGUUUAUCCGAGAGGUGAUUAUUGCUAAUUGAAAACUUUUCCCAAUACCCCGCCAUGACGACGUGCAAUAUGGUCAGCAUUGGCAAUUUUUGACAGUCUCUACAGAGA